GACGAACGCUGGCGGCGUGCUUAACACAUGCAAGUCGAACGGAAAGGCCCUGCUUUUGUGGGGUGCUCGAGUGGCGAAAGGGUGAGUAACACGUGAGUAACCUGCCCUUGACUUUGGGAUAACUUCAGGAAACUGGGGCUAAUACCGGAUAGGAGCUCCUGCUGCAUGGUGGUGGUUGGAAAGUUUCGGCGGUUGGGGAUGGACUCGCGGCUUAUCAGCUUGUUGGUGGGGUAGUGGCUUACCAAGGCUUUGACGGGUAGCCGGCCUGAGAGGGUGACCGGCCACAUUGGGACUGAGAUACGGCCCAGACUCCUACGGGAGGCAGCAGUGGGGAAUAUUGCACAAUGGGCGGAAGCCUGAUGCAGCAACGCCGCGUGCGGGAUGACGGCCUUCGGGUUGUAAACCGCUUUCGCCUGUGACGAAGCGUGAGUGACGGUAAUGGGUAAAGAAGCACCGGCUAACUACGUG
rnacentral:rRNA from 1 species